rnacentral:tRNA from 1 species
GGGAGUGGUUGUGUCCCGGUGGAUGCUGCGGUCUUCAAAACCGUUGGCCGGUCGCGCUGAGCGAGCGGCGGUGGGUUCGACUCCCAUCCACUCCCGCCA